AAGACGAGGAGUGGUUUAUUUUCCUAUGGUUGUUAUAUCAUCUCGUCUUAGACAUGUUAGAAUAUGCUUGAAGUACAGGGACUUUUAUGGAAUUCAUUGACAUCAUAGUCAAGCAAGAUGUCAACAUCCCGUCCAACCGUCUUCCAGCAAAGCCAAUUUGAAAGCUGACCAAGGAUCUUCAUCAUUUCGUGACAGGGUGUAUACAGGACGAGUCAUUCCACUAGGAUCAGGUACAUUUUACAACUCUUAACAAUCAAUUUUCAUUAGUUCCUUAUACAUGUAUAAAGGCCGUUUAAGGGGGUUUCAUUGGGGGGGGGGGGGUUCUGAUCCCGGAACACCGCUUAUUGUUUUGUUAGAUUCCAGUAUCCCAGCUAUACUAUGCACCUAAGCAAUUCUCAUUUUUUAUAAUUUCCCUUGUCCCGCUAGACCUUAAUUCCUGUUUUCACGACACAAUAAUUUGACUUUCCCCUGUCACGCUUACGAAAAAUUGGCAAUCCCGCAUCACGCUUAGACCCUAAUGAGACCCACUAUAUAGUCAAUCUGAAAUUAGGGGACCAACAUUUGAUACAAUAGCCAGAUGAAAAAAAGAACGGAGGGAGUUGAAGUUAAAAGGGCAUGUGAAUAUUCUUUUACACCUGACCUGUUUCUAGGACAUCUUAUCUAUUUCCUAUAGCCAAGUGCAAACAAAUAAUAUACUGUAAAUUGAGAAAUUAUUGUAAUGUUUUUAUUAUUGCUAGAAUGUGAAAGGGUAAUCAUGUAAAACAUUUUUUUUUUUUGUAAUUGCAAUUUAAUUAAAACUCACAUUUUGAGUAUUUUUUAUAUGAAUCAAACAGGAUAUUUCUGAACAUCGCAAAAUUUAAAUCACAUUUCAGUCUUGAAUUAUAAAACCGCAUUAAUAAACCUAUGCAACAGUUAUAUAUUAAAUGUAUAUGGCAUGAGUCUUGGGACCAUUUAAUUACCAAAAAGAAAGGGGGAGGAUUAGAAUGGUCAAAAUAUCCUUGUCAGCUAAGGACAGAAUUUAAAUUGUUAAGCUAUUAACCAGGGUACAAUAUACAUCAUGUACAUGUAUAUUAAUUUUUUGCUUAAAAAACAAUUUAUAGACCAUAAGCAUGAUAAGCAUGAUAGUAAUCAAAAUUUAUUUCAACAUGUUCAACAUUAAGCAGGACAAUAUGUUUUUAUUCUCUUACCCUUAGUUUAAUUUUAAGUUUUUAAUAGAAGUUGUACAUGUUCAGGUCUUUGUUUAUUAAAAAAGCUUAUACCUGGUUGUAAAGCCUCAUUCCAAAACAUGUUUUACAUACAACAUACUGUACAUGAAACACUAGGUAACUUUAUCUAAAGAAUAAUCUUGUUUAAUGAUCUAUUAUACAAUGUCAAUGAAUGUAGGCCAUGGCGACUAAAAAAUCAAAAGGCAUUGCAAACUUUUAUAAAGUUCAAUUUUGGGACCUUACAUGUACAUUGAUGUACAUGUAUGUAUAAAUGUAUGAAUUAUAAUUAUAGAGCCCUUUUUAAAAGAAACAAAAAAAAACAUGCACAGUGCUGCUACACUACCCUACAAUUCCUGUGAUACAAAAUUGAAGAAUUAUUUUAUAGUUUAACACUUUUCAUUUGUAGGACUAUUGUCAUGAUAAUAGAUGCAGGCAAUGCUGAUGGGUUUUGUGAAUGUGACAAUAAAUAGCC
rnacentral:lncRNA from 1 species